UGUGGGGAGGCAUGGUGAAAUGCUGUGGAAACAACAAUGAUUCAACCAAUGUGUACUAGAGGUCGAGCGAUUAAUCGGGGCCGAUUUCAAGUUUUCAUAACAAUCGGAAAUCUGUAUUUUUGGGCACCGAUUUGCACAUUUCUUUUUUUUUCACCUUUAUUUAAUCUUUAUUUAACUAGGCAAGUCAGUUAAGAACACAUUCUUAUUUUCAAUGACGGCCCAGGAACCCCUAAACGAGGCAGAACGACAGAUUUUUAACCUUGUCAGCUCGGGGGAUCCAAUCUUGCAUUGAUUACAUUGCACUCCACGAGGAGCCUGCCUGUUAGCGAAUGCAGUAAGCUAAGAACCUGAGCCCUAGGACCAUACGUCAGGACUACCGGGCAUGCUGACACCUUGCUGUCCCCAGUCCGCCCGGCCUUGCUGCUAUUCCAGUUUCAACUGUUCUGCCUGAGGUUACGAAACCCCUACCUGUCCCAGACCUGCUGUUUUCAACUCUUAAUGAUCGGCUAUGAAAAGCCAACUGAGAUUUAUUCCUGAUUAUUAUUUGACCAUGCUUGUCAUUUAUGAACAUUUUGAAAAUGUUGGCUCUCUCUAAUUUUCUCCUUCUCUCUUUCUUUCUCUCGGAGGACCUGAGCCCUGGGACCAUACGUCGGGACUACCGGCCGUGGUGACUCCUUGCUGCCCUCAGUCCGCCUGGCCUUGCUGCUAUUCCAGUUUCAACUCUUCUGCCUGCGGUUAUGGAACCCCUACCUGUCCCAGACCUGCUGUUUUCAACUCUUAAUGAUCGGCUAUGAAAAGCCAACUGAGAUUUAUUCCUGAUUAUUAUUUGACCAUGCUUGUCAUUUAUGAACAUUUUGAAAAUCUUGGCUCUCUCUAAUUUUCUCCUUCUCUCUUUCUUUCUCUCGGAGGACCUGGGCCCUAGGACCAUGCGUCGGGACUGCCGCCCGUGGUGACUCCUUGCUGUCCCCAGUCCGCCUGGCCUUGCUGCUAUUCCAGUUUCAGCUGUUCUGCCUGCGGUUAUGGAACCGCCACCUGUCCCAGACCUGUUGUUUUUCAACUCUUAAUGAUCAGCUAUGAAAAGCCAACUGAAAAUUAUUCAUGAUUAUUAUUUGACCAUGCUUGUCACUUAUGAACAUUUUUGAACAUCUUGGCAUAGUUCUGUUAUAAUCUCCACCCGGCACAGCCAGAAGAGGACUGGCCACCCCUCAUAGCCUGGUUCCUCUCUAGGUUUCUUCCUAGGUUUUGGCCUUUCUAGGGAGUUUUUCCUAGCCACCGUGCUUCUUCACCUGCAUUACUAGCUGUUUGGGGUUUUAGGCUGGGUUUCUGUACAGCACUUCGAGAUAUUAGCUGAUGUACGAAGGGCUAUAUAAAAUAAAAUUGAUUGAU